UUAACUUAGGUGUUGGGAUCCGAACUCA
rnacentral:piRNA from 1 species